AGCGAACGCUGGCGGCAGGCCUAGCACAUGCAAGUCGAACGAAGUCUUCGGAUGCUGACGAGUGGCGAACGGGUGAGUAAUACAUCGGAACGUGCCCGAGAGUGGGGGAUAACGAAGCGAAAGCUUUGCUAAUACCGCAUACGAUCUCAGGAUGAAAGCAGGGGACCGCCAGGCCUUGCGCUCACGGAGCGGCCGAUGGCAGAUUAGGUAGUUGGUGGGAUAAAAGCUUACCAAGCCGACGAUCUGUAGCUGGUCUGAGAGGACGACCAGCCACACUGGGACUGAGACACGGCCCAGACUCCUACGGGAGGCAGCAGUGGGGAAUUUUGGACAAUGGGCGCAAGCCUGAUCCGGCCAUGCCGCGUGCAGGAUGAAGGCCUUCGGGUUGUAAACUGCUUUUGUACGGAACGAAAAGACUCCUUCUAAUAAAGGGGGUCCAUGACGGUACCGUAAGAAUAAGCACCGGCUAACUACGUGCCAGCCGCCGCCGUAAUAC
rnacentral:rRNA from 1 species